GAUGAACGCUGGCGGUAUGCCUAACACAUGCAAGUCGUACGAGAGUUUUUAACUCUAGUGGCGGACGGGUGAGUAACACGUGAGAAUUUGCCUUUAGGAGGGGGACAACAAUCGGAAACGAAUGCUAAUACCCCGUAUGCUUUCGAGUGAAAUGGAUUUUAUCCGCCUAGAGAGAAGCUCGCGGCUGAUUAGCUUGUUGGUAAGGUAAGAGCUUACCAAGGCGACGAUCAGUAUCUGGUUUGAGAGGACGAUCAGACACACUGGAACUGAGACACGGUCCAGACUCCUACGGGAGGCAGCAGUGGGGAAUUUUCCGCAAUGGGCGAAAGCCUGACGGAGCAAUACCGCGUGAGGGAAGAAUGCCUAUGGGUUGUAAACCUCUUUUUUCAGGGAGGAAUCAAAUGACGUGUACCUGAAGAAUAAGCAUCGGCUAACUCCGUG
rnacentral:rRNA from 1 species